rnacentral:lncRNA from 1 species
CACAAUAAGAAAGGCUUGUUUCUAUGGAAUUUUUUGACUGUUUAAAGGACUUAGGAAAUAUUCUUUUUUCUUUUGAGGUUAAAAUAAUUUUUGAUGCUAUUUCUCAAGGAAGAAAUACUCGAUUCAAAAUAAUUUCUUCGAAAUCUGAGAGAUGGAAUUUAUUUCCUCCUGUGUAGAUUGAGAUCCUGAAGAAAGAACCGAGUUGGUUUGAGAAUGUAAUGCAGCAUCGUAAAGGUAAGAAAUAUGGUUGCAGAAUAUUUUUUUUU